AAGAAAACAUGGGAGAGAUGCCCCCGUUCUUUCAUGGAUAUUGUUAUAUGUGAAUGUGAUGCCCUGAACUGCAGCAACUACGAAGGGAGGCAGUCUGAGGACGAGCUAACAUGUUUGCAAGAGCAAAGCAAAAGGAUGGGAAGAAUAUGGGCCCUCUGUGAGCAGUGCUGAGGAACCCCGGAGCCUCUCACCAGGGAUGAGGAGAGGGACCGAUUCAACUGGAAGGGCAUGUGAUGUUCAUUCAUCUGACAAAUACUAAGUGCCUUUCAUAUGCGCGGCUAAGUGCCUACAACAGAAUGUGAAUAAAGGAAUAAGACCAAAACAAUCACCCAGCUGGAGAGAGAGAGGAGUAUUUUAAGGUAAAGUGGGAUGUCUGCAGUCAGGUCAAGAAACAGCUUACGCUAGAGAGCACCAUCUAUUUACUUCACAACCCACCCUCCACCUUACUGUCUCCUCCCUGUCACGAGACAAUCUAUGAUCAUCGCCCACUGAGGUAAUGCAACCCGGCUUGGAAUUCUCACGGCCUGCAAUUCCCCUGGAUUUAAUUCUUGUAUUAAAGCUCCCUAGCUACAUAAAAUACCAUUUCUUCAAUGACUUUCCUGUAAUUCCCCAAAUACACUUCUCUCUCCUUUCUGGCCCAAGCUCCUUAAUAUUCUGAGUUAUUCAAACUUCAGGUA